GACGGUACCUGACUAAGAAGCCCCGGCUAACUACGUGCCAGCAGCCGCGGUAAUACGUAGGGGGCAAGCGUUAUCCGGAUUUACUGGGUGUAAAGGGAGCGUAGACGGCAGCACAAGUCUGGAGUGAAAUCCCGGGGCUUAACCCCGGAACUGCUUUGGAAACUGUGCGGCUGGAGUGCAGGAGGGGUAAGCGGAAUUCCUAGUGUAGCGGUGAAAUGCGUAGAUAUUAGGAGGAACACCGGUGGCGAAGGCGGCUUACUGGACUGUAACUGACGUUGAGGCUCGAAAGCGUGGGGAGCAAACAGAAUUAGAUACCCUGGUAGUCCACGCCGUAAACGAUGAUUUACUAGGUGUCGGGGGAACCAAGGUCCCUCCGGUGCCCGGCGCAAACCGCUUUAAGUAAUCCACCCUGGGGAUGUACGUUCCAAGAAAUGAAUCUCAAAGGAAUUGACCGGGGACCCGCACAAGCGGGGGAGCAUGUGGUUUAAUUGGAAGCAACGCGAAGAACCUUACCUGGUCUUAACAUCCGGAUGCCGUAUGGGCAAUGCCAUAUUUCCUUCGGGGACGUCCGAGACAGGUGGUGCAUGGUUGUUGUCAGCUCGUGUCGUGAGAUGUUGGGUUAAGUCCCGCAACGAGCGCAACCCCUAUUUCCAGUAGCCAGCAGGUAAGGCUGGGCACUCUGGAGAGACUGCCCGGGACAACCGGGAGGAAGGCGGGGAUGACGUCAAAUCAUCAUGCCCCUUAUGACCAGGGCGACACUCGUGCUACAAUGGCGUAAACAAAGGGAAGCAGGACGGCGACGUUGAGCAAAUCCCAGAAAUAACGUCCCAGUUCGGAUCGUAGUCUGCAACCCGACUACAUGAAGCUGGAAUCGCUAGUAAUCGCGAAUCAGAAUGUCGAAGAGAAUACGUUCCCGGGUCUUGUACACACCGCCCGUCACUCCAUGGGAGUCGGAAAUGCCCGAAGUCAGUACAAAACCGCAAGGAGGGAGCUGCCGAAG
rnacentral:rRNA from 1 species